rnacentral:rRNA from 1 species
UACGGAGGGUGCAAGCGUUAUCCGGAUUCACUGGGUUUAAAGGGUGCGUAGGCGGAUAGGUAAGUCCGUGGUGAAAUCCUGCAGCUUAACUGCAGAACUGCUAUGGAUACUAUUUAUCUUGAAUGUCGUGGAGGUUAGCAGAAUAUGUCAUGUAGCGGUGAAAUGCUUAGAUAUGACAUAGAAUACCCAUUGCGAAGGCAGCUAACUACGCGAUAAUUGACGCUGAUGCACGAAAGCGUGGGGAUCAAACAGG